CGGAGAGUCCCAUGCAUGCGCGGAUAAUAAAACCCCUUGAUUUUUCAUGAGAGCUGGUUCCUUGGGGUCUUCUUCACACUGGUAAUCUUACAAAAGGAAGUUUAAGCAAGUUGGAAGAUCUUGCCUUCUUUUAUAUUUGAUGGGUUGUGGAAGAGAAAAGUCAGCACCUCCCAAGAAUCAUCCAUGCUGGGACUAGGAGGAGCCCACCAAGAAGCCAGCUGACCAACCUUUCUGGUACGCCAUGCAAGCCAUGGGGAGCCCAGGAAAAGUCAGACAGCAUCUCCUAUGAGCCAUGCCUCCCCUAGCACACCCAUAAGCAACAGAUGGUUUCAGAGGACAGGCUGAGUUGAUAGCGAAUGAGGUACAAAAAGCAACUGAAUGCUUCCAUUCUUUGCUUGACUUUGUAAUUCCGUGACGAGCAGUUUAAGCAUCUAUUGGGAGGACAGCAGUAUGCAAUAUAGCAAACAUGGGGGAUUUCCUUCUGUCUUGUCUUUGAAAUCCAAUAUUAUUCUCAUUGUUUUGUCUUAUUCUAAUUAACUAUUUUUGCUUUAUUCAAUGUUCUGUUUUGAUUGAUUUUAUUCUGUUUUGUUUUGAUUUUGCUAUAUCUGAUGGAAUGGACAACUAUCAUGAAGAUGACAAAAUACGCUAUGGUAGCUAUUGUUACUUCCCUAGUAUUCUGCUUUGAAGUUCUGUACCAAUUUCACUGCUUUGCUUGAUAGAAUGUAUUUUGUUUUGUUUUGUUUUGUUGGAUUUUAUUAUCUUUAAAAUAAAAAAGAUACAUUUCUUUUUAA